rnacentral:tRNA from 1 species
AUUUAUAUAGUUUAAGAAAAAUUUUAAAUUUUCAAUUUAAAGAUAAAAUAAAAUUUAUAAAUU